GUGCUGGGCAUCCCUCAUCAUACAAUUGUCAUGUGAAGUCAUUUCUUUUUCAAGAUUUACUUGUUUAUAAUAAGAAUCCUUUUAAAUUUUGAUUUUUCUACCAUUGCGUCCAAAUGCUGUUAUGUCUUGCAUCACCAUUUGGCCUUCCCGCAGUUUGAUGUUGGGUUUAAAAGAUGUUCCUGAGUGUUAACAGGACAUCCCAAUCCACUUCUCAAUUGGUAGAGCUAAAUUUUCCAUAAUUUUCUUUGCUGAACCCACUUGCUGCUAACAAGGAUGUUUAAAGAUGCACACGGCAGUGACGGCACUCAUUGUGCUUACCAAAGGGACAUGCAGACCAACAUUUUAAUACCACAGUUUCUUGUAUACAAUCAAUUGUCGAUACCAAAUUACAUGAUAUGGUAAAAUAAAAUAACUG